rnacentral:lncRNA from 1 species
CCCCCUCCCUUUUGUGUAUUUGCUAUCGCAAAUUGUUUAUUAAUUAUAAAGCAGAGGUAUUGUUUUUAUAUGGUGGAAGAGAUGUGUUUUUGGUGGUUCAGAGGAUGUUUGUUGAUAAAGUCAAGAUGUUUUUUGUAUAUUGAGGUGACCAAAGGUGGAAAUCCUCCUAAGUUCGAAGACUAUCAAAUAUGCGAUAAUUUGCACGGAGUUCAGUUGUGUACUCCUCCAAUCCUGUAAUAUUGUGCAUCAGAUAGUUUAUAAGGUUUGAACCAGGGAUGCUUAUGCUUUGGGACCAAGUUAAAAGCAAGAACAAAGGAGUGGCCCAUCUUUCAUAUGUUUGCAAAAUGUUUUUAUGAUAACUUUGUUAUUAAAUUUUGGAUGGAGGCAAUUUGGACUAACCAUGUAUAGUUUCUGUCUCUUUGUGUUUUGAAGGCAAUUUUGUGGUUUAAAUUAUGAUUCUUCAUUUUUUUUGCAAAAUUACCUAGACAUUUUCUUUACAUCACUCAGAGGCACAAGGGAUCUGUGCACUAAAUUUUGGUUUUCAAAUUCUGAAGGAGCUGAUCAAUUGUGAGGAUUUAUUGAAAUGGAUCUACACACAACCUAAAAUAGAUGCAUUUUGCGAAAAUGCUGGUUCAAUUGCACAAAACUCUAGCAAGCUAUACAUAGAACCUUUUAACAACCAGAUUUUUGGAAAAAAAAAAAAUCUUCUAGGUUUUCGUAAGAUCUUUACAAAAAGCUAGUUCUAUGAUUAUUUACUUUAGAAAGUCGCACAAGAAAUCAAAUAAAAGUUCUUAAGAAGCGUUAAGAAAUCUUGGGGUUUAGGAGAAUCAAUGGUGAGAAUGGAAGGGUUGUGAUGGCUAAAACAUCAGACGUGAAUUUAUGCAAGUGUCUUGAGACACUUAAGAUAUAAAGAAAGGGUAAAUCUUUUGUUCUUUUGAUUUGCAAUAUAUCAUUUAUGCUCCUAAUUUAGUUACUUUUAGCGUGUGGCUUUUUUUUUUUUUUUGGUAAAGAGGGGAGCCAGUGGCUAUGUGUCAAUGAAAUGAAGAAGAGUGCAACUGAGAGUAGCUAAUUACAUAAAGUGAGAAUCCAAAAGAGAAAACUUCCUGCAAAUAAAACAAAGGCAGGAACAGAUCAUGUAGAAGUAAGAGUGCACAGCAACAAGUCUUAUGAACAAAAAGAACUUCUGUAUAAUUACAUAAGUACUAAAAUCAUAUAGCAACAAAGAACUAAGUGAGGAUGUAGCAACUGUCGGAUGAUGAGUGGACAAGG